AGUUUGAUCCUGGCUCAGAACGAACGCUGGCGGCAGGCUUAACACAUGCAAGUCGAACGGUCUCUUCGGAGGCAGUGGCAGACGGGUGAGUAACGCGUGGGAAUCUACCCAGUUCUACGGAACAACAGUUGGAAACGACUGCUAAUACCGUAUACGCCCUACGGGGGAAAGAUUUAUCGGAAUUGGAUGAGCCCGCGUAAGAUUAGCUAGUUGGUGGGGUAAUGGCCUACCAAGGCGACGAUCUUUAGCUGGUCUGAGAGGAUGAUCAGCCACACUGGGACUGAGACACGGCCCAGACUCCUACGGGAGGCAGCAGUGGGGAAUAUUGGACAAUGGGCGCAAGCCUGAUCCAGCCAUGCCGCGUGAGUGAUGAAGGCCCUAGGGUUGUAAAGCUCUUUCAACGGUGAAGAUAAUGACGGUAACCGUAGAAGAAGCCCCGGCUAACUUCGUGCCAGCAGCCGCGGUAAUACGUAGGGUGCGAGCGUUAAUCGGAAUUACUGGGCGUAAAGCGUGCGCAGGCGGAUUGUUAAGCAAGAUGUGAAAUCCCCGGGCUUAACCUGGGAAUGGCAUUUUGAACUGGCAGUCUAGAGUGCGUCAGAGGGGGGUGGAAUUCCACGUGUA
rnacentral:rRNA from 1 species